rnacentral:rRNA from 1 species
UACCAGCACCCCGAGUGGUCGGGACGUUUAUUGGGCCUAAAGCAUCCGUAGCCGGUUCUACAAGUCUUCCGUUAAAUCCAGCUGCUUAACAGAUGGGCUGCAGAAGAUACUAUGGAGCUAGGAGGCGGGAGAGGCAAGCGGUACUCGAUGGGUAGGGGUAAAAUCCGUUGAUCCAUUGAAGACCACCAGUGGCGAAGGCGGCUUGCCAGAACGCGCUCGACGGUGAGGGAUGAAAGCUGGGGGGGCAAACCGG